UGGUGGAGUGAUUUGUCUGGUUAAUUCCGAUAACGAACGAGACCUCGACCUGCUAACUAGACGCGGCGAAUGGUUCGCCGUUCGUGCGCGUCUUCUUAGAGGGACUAUUUGGGACUACCGGAUGGAAGUUUGAGGCAAUAACA
rnacentral:rRNA from 1 species